AUCCGGGAGGGAAAACCACAGCAGGAACAUCAGAGCUGGAGGGAACAGCCUAGCUUUUUGUCUUUCAACCCUAGUGCAGAACCUUCCACAAAAGCUAACCGUUAGAGGGAGUGCUAGGCUGAGCUGCCUCCUGUGCUGGGAGCAGCCGGAAGGGUGGGUGUGUGGAGGGAGGGCUGGGACCUAGCAGCAGAGCCCUGCAGGGUUACACCCUAGAGAAGAGGGAGACCAACCCAGAAGGGAGGAGUGGAUGGGAGGUGGGGAGCCUGCAGGGCGUUCUGGAAUGGAAGAGACUGGCUUAUGGUCCCAGGGGUGAAAUUUUCUCCUAAAAAGGGAGGUGAGGACACCUUCCUUAGUGAUUUGUCCCACAUUUUUGUCUCCCCAUAACGGGCUGGAUGCUGGGUGAGGAGUAAUUUGAAUGAGGUGUGAUCCCUGUCCACAAACCUAAAACCCUGGUGGAUAAGACAGGCAGCCACAGUAGACCAGAGCAGGGACAGCUAGGCUAAGGGAGCCACUGCCCAUUUUGCACAAAGGAGUGAUUCCGCAGUGAGACCUUUGCUGUGGAGGAGCCCAGUUCAGGACACAAUGCGAUUACAAGGAGGAGAAAUAUGGUUAAUUCACAAUUGAGGCUGUUGACGGAAAGCUGUAUAUUACCCAGAGAGCAACUGUGAGUCUCAAUCAGUUAAAAGAUUUUAGAUAUUGGACUGCUGAUUUCUCUGAAAUACAGAGGCUGUGUUCUGGUUCAUUUUAAUUCGGCAUGCCUUUUUUGAGCAUCCAGUGAGUGUCUAUCACUGCACUAGGCCUGUAGAAGCUGCAAGAUGUGAGCCAACCAACUAUACAAAAGGCAAAGUGAAAUAAAUGCCGAAGAGAAGGUGUACAAAGGAGUGGUGUCUGCACGGGAGGCUGCCUCAUGUGAAAAGCAGCAUUUGAAGACCUUGAGGAGUGAGAAGGGAAGCAGGGCUUUCUGAACAGACAGUUGAGAGCCACUGCAGAUUUUGGAGGCUGAGACAAACUGAUCUGAGAUGUAUUUGAUAGCAUGUGAAGGAUGUUGUGACUGACAUGGAAGGUUAUCUAUCCAACGUCCACCACCAGCACACCAGGACACACUCCUCAUCCCCUCCUAUCCUGCCUUCUUUGUGGUACAUGCAAGUGCAAUUUUAUUUAGACAUGAAGCAGGUGAUGAGCUUCAAGGGGUCAGCUCCAGGAGCAAAGUUUGAUUAGUAUAAACAUACGGCACCCAGGGGUUCAGCAUUAUAGAAAUUUCUGAGGGCGUUUUGUUUCAGUUUGGCUAUCAUAAUGAUUAGGGAAUACUGUUGAUCAUAAACUGGGAUCAGGAAUACUAGACAUCGGGGGAUCCCUGGGUGGUGCAGCGGUUUGGCGCCUGCCUUUGGCCCAGGGCGCGAUCCUGGAGACCGGGGAUCGAAUCCCACAUCGGGCUCCCGGUACAUGGAGCCUGCUUCUGUCUCUGCCCCUCUCUCUCUGUGACUAUCAUAAAUAAAAAUAAAUAAAUAAAAAAGGAAUACUAGACAUCCAGCAUGGCAUAUGACAACUCCAUACAUCAAAGAUUUGUGCUGUGCCUUACAUGGCCUUCUUUAAAGACUCUUUAUUGUAGUAUAACAUGCAUAUAGAAAAAUGCACAGAUCUUAAGUAUACACUAAAAUUUUUUAAAUUAAAUUAAAAAACGAGUGUACAGCUUGAUGAAUCUUCCCAAACUGAACACAACCUAGUGCCUAGGAGAGUCAUAUACCUAUUUUAAUUUCGAAUAGGAUGUAUACAUUUUGCCUACUUUUAAACUUUAGCUAAAUGGACUUAUAAAUGAAUCACUACACAUUUGUAUAGAUGAAAUAUCUCUAUAAUUAUGUGACUCUAGCAAAAACAAAUUCUGCACAAAUUUUGUAUACACUGCAUUUUCCAAGAAUGCAACUAGCACAUAAAUGUAAAUUGAGGGCACCUGGGAGGCUCAGUGGAUGAGCGUCUGUCUUUGGCUCAGGGCAUGAUCCUGGAGUCCUGGGAUCAGGUCCCCACAGGGAGCCUGCUUUUCCCUCUGCCUGUAUC